CCAGGUGUUUUGUAGAAGUCUAAACAGUCAGUCAGUGGGUAUGAGUCAUCUGACUGUGGUCAGAUUAGAAAUUCCUAAAACAUGAUAUAGGAGCCCAGCAUCUGAGACAGGGAAAAUGAAGAGGGGCAGCCCUCUAUGGCUUCUGCCAACACCUCCACUCCUUGGAAGCCUAAUAUUCCUUCUUAAGUUUUGGACAGUUGCUCAGGAGUUGGGAGCCCAGAAGAAGGGAACCCCCUGGUGUUUUCUACUUUGCGGAGCUCUCCAGAAGACUGACUGCAGAAUGGCCACAAUCAGGUCAACUCAUCAACUGGGGAACAUAGUGCUGGCUUUGGCAUUUCGAGGGGGUUAGAAAGAUACCGCAAAGAUCUAGGUAAGAGGGAAUUCUUUCCACCUCUUUACUUCUGGUAGCAAAGUGCUUCUUCCCAGCUGCUUCCUCAGAAUCGAUGACCUAAUCCCACUUUCCUUUUCCUCAUCUGUAGAAUGGCAGUGAGCUCUUAAAGUGGUUGUGAAGAUACAAGAAAUUGCCAGAUAGUUCGCACAGCGCUUCAGAUAAGGUAGAUACUAAAUAAUUGUUAAGGUCCUUCCCUCUCUACUGUUCACACCUUACUUCAGACCUGCAGCAUGGUCCUUGUGGUUUCUAGUUGUCUUCUGGCUAGAAGUAUUCACUGCUUUACAGAAUUCUGCCAGUGCUACUCUGAUCUAUCCCCAUCUCAGUCCCUGGAGCUAACCACGUCUCACCACUUUGAUUCUCACUUGCAAUACAGAUCUACUGGUUUGCCCUGGAUCCAGUUUACAAUCCUGUCCUGUUAGAUAUAGAUAAAUCACACACAGUUAAAUCUCUAAGCAGAGUAUCCUGUUGGGUAUGAUAUCUAGCAUCAAGACUGGCUCUUCCCUGACAGUCAAGAGGAGAUGGUGUGAUCAGCUCCUUGCUAAAAGCCUUUGAUGCCCCUCCCUGACCCUUUUUUGGCUUUAGACAAGAUGGUUCCUGCAAUCCUCACUGCAUUUACUAUCAAGUCCAAACAUUUUAAUAUGGCCUGUAGGGAGCCACAUAGCUGACUCUACUCACCUGUCCAGCUGCAUCAUCUGCCACCCAUGGCCUUGCUUAUUAUGUUGCUAGUCAUUAGUUUUUAAAAAUCUUCCAUAAACCAGGUGAGCUCUUUUAAAUUUUUUUUUUAAUUUUUUAUUUUUAGGGCAGCACCUGUGGCAUAUUGAGUUUCCCAGGCCAGGGGUUGAAUCAGAGCUGCAGCUGAGGCCUAUGCCACAGCCACAGCAACAUCAGAUGGGAGCUGCAUCCAUGACCUAUGCCCCAGCUUGUGGCAAUGCCAGAUUCUUAACCCACUGAGUAAGGCCGGAUCAAACCUGCGACCUCAAAGAGACUAUAUCGGGUUCUUAGCCUGCUGAGCUACAAUGGGAACCCCCAAGUAAGCUCUUUUUUGCCUUGUGAAAUUAGCACAUGAGUGUUUUUUUUGGACCCCUCAUUGUCCUGCUCUUUAUUUGGCUAGCUCCUUGCUACUCAUUCUUUUAGAUUCAACACAAAUGUGGCUUCCCUGUAGAGUUCUUUUCUGAACCUAAUCUAAAUGUGGUCUCCUCCAGUAUUCUCUUUCAUACUUCUCCUUCCUAGCACUUGUCAUAAUUUCUAGCUGUGGUUUUGCAUUUAAAUUUAUUUGUUUAUUGUCUGUGUUUGCACUAGAAAUGUAUACUCAGUGAAAAUAGGGACAUGCCUGUUUCCUUUACUUCCUGUGCCUAGCAAGAUUUUGGCUCAGGCAAGGCACUCAUUAUUGAGUGAAUGAAACCAACUCUAUUAAUGAGGAAGGUCCCUGGAUUAUUUCCAAAUGCUAACCUGCCCUACAUUUUCCUUGACAAAGUACUUGUUUUGUUUAGUAGGCUUCUGGGGAAUCCCCUUUUCAGAGUUUAUCUUUGGUUAUUGACAGUUUCAAAUGAACAAAAAUUUGUUCCUAAGAAGGCUUUCUAGGAAGAAUCUUUAUCUUUUUACCAUUCAGAAGAUAUUUUUUUCUCCCUAAAACAGGCAAUUCAGUUAAUAUUCAUUACAUAUCUUUUGUGUAAACUUAUAAUAGCUCAAAUUCCACUGGGAAAAAUUCCCAUCACAACAGAUAGCUUUGUGUAAUGAAAAGACUUUUCAUGCCCUGAGUUUGUAGGUUGAAAACUAGUCCAAAAAUCCAAGUCUGUUCAUUAGUGAAUAAUACACAAUUCUAUAGUUCUUACUAUUUACAUGUGGCUAGGCCAUACUAUUAUGGGGGGUAUUAGGAUAUUUCUAAAAUUUGGUGUUACAAGCACCAGUGUAUUAAUAAAAUUCAUCAGGAUUUGAAUUUCUACUUCUUU
rnacentral:lncRNA from 1 species